CCCUUAGAUGUCCUGGGCCGCACGCGCGCUACACUGAGUGUCUGAGAUACGAGUCUGCCUAGCCGGCGAGGUCUAGGUAAUCGCUGAAAGACACAUCAUCCUUGGGAUAGAUUAUUGCAGAUAUUAAUCUUGAACGAGGAAUUCCUAGUAAGCGCAAGUCAACAGCUUGCGUUGAUUACGUCCCUGCCCUUUGUGCACACCGCCCGUCGCUACUACUGAUUGGAUGUUUAAGCGAGGUUCUCGAACUGCUAGCGACUUAGCUUCGGUGAGGUCGCCGUGUGGGAAGUGAACCUAGCUUUGGUGUCGAGAGGAAGUAAAAGUCGUAUCA
rnacentral:rRNA from 1 species